UGUUAUGUAUGUCAUACUCUGAUGAUC
rnacentral:piRNA from 1 species